rnacentral:rRNA from 1 species
AACGAACGCUGGCGGCAUGCCUAACACAUGCAAGUCGAACGAGACCUUCGGGUCUAGUGGCGCACGGGUGCGUAACGCGUGGGAACCUGCCCUUAGGUUCGGAAUAACUCCCCGAAAGGGGUGCUAAUACCGGAUAAUGUCUUCGGACCAAAGAUUUAUCGCCUUUGGAUGGGCCCGCGUUGGAUUAGCUAGUUAGUAGGGUAAAAGCCUACCAAGGCGACGAUCCAUAGCUGGUCUGAGAGGAUGAUCAGCCACACUGGGACUGAGACACGGCCCAGACUCCUACGGGAGGCAGGAGUGGGGAAUAUUGGACAAUGGGCGAAAGCCUGAUCCAGCAAUGCCGGGUGAGUGAUGAAGGCCUUAGGGUUGUAAAGCUCUUUUACCCGGGAUGAUAAUGACAGUACCGGGAGAAUAAGCUCCGGCUAACUCCGUG